GGCCAGACUCCUACGGGAGGCAGCAGUGGGGAAUAUUGGACAAUGGGGGGAGCCCUGAUCCAGCGACGCCGCGUGAGUGAAGAAGUCUUUCGGUAUGUAAAGCUCUAUCAGCAGGGAAGAAAGAAAUGACGGUACCUGACUAAGAAGCCCCGGCUAACUACGUGCCAGCAGCCGCGGUAAUACGUAGGGGGCAAGCGUUAUCCGGAUUUACUGGGUGUAAAGGGAGCGUAGACGGCAAUGCAAGCCAGAUGUGAAAGCCCGGGGCUCAACCCCGGGACUGCAUUUGGAACUGUGUAGCUGGAGCGUCGGAGAGGCAGGCGGAAUUCCUAGUGUAGCGGUGAAAUGCGUAGAUAUUAGGAGGAACACCAGUGGCGAAGGCGGCUUACUGGACGGCAACUGACGCUGAGGCUCGAAAGCGUGGGGAGCAAACAGGAUUAGAUACCCGUGUA
rnacentral:rRNA from 1 species